rnacentral:rRNA from 1 species
AUCCAUGACUUCGGUUGUGGUGAAAGUGGCAAACGGGUGAGUAACGCGUGGGAAUCUGCCCAGAGGUAGGGAAUAACCGCGGGAAACUGCGGCUAAUACCCUAUGUGCCCUACGGGGCAAAGAUUUAUCGCCUUUGGAGGAGCCCGCGUCGGAUUAGGUAGUUGGUAGGGUAACGGCCUACCAAGCCUACGAUCCGUAGCUGGUCUGAGAGGAUGAUCAGCCACACUGGGACUGAGAUACGGCCCAGACUCCUACGGGAGGCAGCAGUGGGGAAUAUUGGACAAUGGGGGCAACCCUGAUCCAGCAAUGCCGCGUGAGUGAUGAAGGCCUUCGGGUUGUAAAGCUCUUUCGGCGGGGAAGAUGAUGACGGUACCCGCAGAAGAAGCCCCGGCUAACUUCGUGCCAGCAGCCGCGGUAAUACGAAGGGGGCUAGCGUUGUUCGGAAUUACUGGGCGUAAAGGGCGCGUAGGCGGUGCUGUAAGUCAGGCGUGAAAUCCCCGGGCUCAACCUGGGAAUUGCGUUUGAUACUGCGGCGCUGGAAUGCGGGAGAGGAUGGCGGAAUUCCCAGUGUAGAGGUGAAAUUCGUAGAUAUUGGGAAGAACACCGGUGGCGAAGGCGGCCAUCUGGCCCGUAAUUGACGCUGAGGCGCGAAAGCGUGGGGAGCAAACAGGAUUAGAUACCCUGGUAGUCCACGCCGUAAACGAUGAGUGCUAGACGUCGGGGAGCUUGCUCUUCGGUGUCGCCGCUAACGCAUUAAGCACUCCGCCUGGGGAGUACGGUCGCAAGAUUAAAACUCAAAGGAAUUGAC